GACGAACGCUGGCGGCGUGCUUAACACAUGCAAGUCGAACGGAAAGGCCCUGCUUUUGUGGGGUGCUCGAGUGGCGAACGGGUGAGUAACACGUGAGUAACCUGCCCUUGACUUUGGGAUAACUUCAGGAAACUGGGGCUAAUACCGGAUCGGAGCUCCUGCUGCAUGGUGGGGGUUGGAUAGUUUCGGCGGUUGGGGAUGGACUCGCGGCUUAUCAGCUUGUUGGUGGGGUAGUGGCUUACCAAGGCUUUGACGGGUAGCCGGCCUGAGAGGGUGACCGGCCACAUUGGGACUGAGAGACGGCCCAGACUCCUACGGGAGGCAGCAGUGGGGAAUAUUGCACAAUGGGCGGAAGCCUGAUGCAGCAACGCCGCGUGCGGGAUGACGGCCUUCGGGUUGUAAACCGCUUUCGCCUGUGACGAAGCGUGAGUGACGGUAAUGGGUAAAGAAGCACCGGCUAACUACGUG
rnacentral:rRNA from 1 species